AUGACUGGGAAGGAUGUUUCGACCGGCGGUGCUUCAAGCAGUAGUACCGGUCGAGCAGGCUCCUUUGGUGCUGAGGGUUUUGGCAACAACAAGGACUUCGGGCGUAUGAGGGAUGUGCCCACAAAAAGGAAUUUAUCUACCGAUUUUACCUCCUCCGCAGCUCCAUGCACUGGCAGGACCUACGGGCAUGAGGGGGGGGGCAUCUCUGCUCCCAGAGCUAAUGAGGACCGUGGGGUUCACGCUUGUGGUGACGAUCUGAGGUGGGGGCUUGAACAGAAGAAGGAGAGGGAUCUGCGGGACAGGCUGGUUGAGCAAUGCAAAUUCAGGUGCUGGGAAACUGAGAGAGAGGACAACUGGAAUAGGAAGGGAAAGAACUCCAGGUUUGAUCAAGUUGUUGUUGGUUACGAGGACAGAUUCCAAGGCCACUGGGCCCAUGCAGAGGAUAGAGUGGGCAAACCCUUUAUGCAUGGCGGACCCGCUAUGCAUGGGGAGCGAAGGAGAUGUAAAGGUCACUACGUUAGAAAACCUCGGAUGGAGGGGGAAUACCAGCCGGGCAGCUCGUCCCUCUCAAGGAUGCAGGAGCAUAACAGGAAACGUGGACCAAAGCAAGUGUGGGUGGCAAAGGGAGAUUUGGACAGACAGGGUACUCAUGAUGAUGGGUUCAUUCGCGAUACAAGGCGCAAGACGUCUUCAGUGUUUGAUUGCAUCGCUGAGAAGAAGGAUGGAUCGGCGGACCCCGAUGAUCCGCCGCCGUGA
rnacentral:rRNA from 1 species